GACGAACGCUGGCGGCGUGCUUAACACAUGCAAGUCGAACGGUGAAGCGCCUUCCUUUUUGGUGGGUGUGGAUGAGUGGCGAACGGGUGAGUAACACGUGAGUAACCUGCCCCCUUCUUCUGGAUAACCGCAUGAAAGUGUGGCUAAUACGGGAUAUUCUGGGUCUGUCGCAUGAUGGGUCUGGGAAAGAUAUUGUUUCGGUGGGGGAUGGGCUCGCGGCCUAUCAGCUUGUUGGUGGGGUGAUGGCCUACCAAGGCGGUGACGGGUAGCCGGCCUGGGAGGGUGGACGGCCGCAGUGGGACUGAGACCCGGCCCGGACUCCGACGGGAGGCAGCAGUGGGGAGUAGGGCACAAUGGGCGAAAGCCUGAUGCAGCGACGCCGCGGGAGGGAUGGAGGCCUUCGGGUUGUGAACCUCUUUCGCCAGUGAAGCAGGCCUGCCUCGUUUGUGGGUGGGUUGACGGUAGCUGGAUAAGAAGCGCCGGCUAACUACGUG
rnacentral:rRNA from 1 species